GAGACAGACAGGGGGACAGAGAGUGGGACAGGGGGACAGAGAGAGGGACAGGGGGACGGACGGCGAGGGUCGAGGGUCACUCUGCUCUGACGCCCUCAGUGCUCUGGCCGUGGUUCUGGGCUGAGGUUGCUGAGAGGGAGCUGAAUGCGUUUGACGGCGUCUACCAGAGAAGUGCGGUACUGAGAGGUGAAACAGACCAGUGUCCACAGCCCGGGAAGGUCUGUCACAUAACCGUGCUUAAUACCUAGUUUCAUGUUGCAGUAACUUAAUAAAUAGUUUUCUCACAAAAGUAGUAAAGUAGAUGUUUAUUGGUGGAGCUCAGCAGGGGAAAAGGAGAUAACUCCAUGUCUUACAGAAGAGCCUUUAUGUGGAACAUCUGCGCGUUGGGACAGAAUGCAUGAAUGAAUGAGUUCCAGUCUGGAAAGGCCACAGACAGAGCAGCGCUUCUGUAAACAACAGAGACGACCCAUCUAACUGCUGCUCCUGCACACGCCAAAACAAAUAAGCUGCAGUCCCUAGCACCGACUGGCACCGGCAUACACACCACGGACAUCUCUUGUGCUGCCAUGUGUGUGCGUGUGAGUAUCAUACAGUGGCUGGGAGGUGUGUGUGUGUGAGGUGUGUGCGUGUGAGUAUCAUACAGUGGCUGGGAGGUGUGUGUGUGUGAGGUGUGUGUGUGUGUGUGAGGCAGAAAGGCCUUCAGCCCGGGAGGAGGACUGGGCCCGUCCCCUGGCUGUGACGUCACGGUAACCGUCUCCUCAACCCCAGGGUGACGAGGUGGUAGUGGCAGCAUGUCUGCGUAGCGAUGGGCCCCAUGCUGCUGUCACCCGGGCCCCUCCGGGAGCCCACCUGCCGCACUGGGGGCCAGCCUGCCGCACUGGGGGCCAGCCUGCCGCACUGGGGGCCAGCCUGCCGCACUGGGGGCCCGCCUGCCGCACUGGGGGCCCGCCGCACUGGGCCCCUCCAGAUCCAGGUCUCUCCACCUCCUGAUCCGGUCCUGGUAUUUUGGUCCUGCAUGUGAACAAUCAUAUUCAUAUUUGUCGGCCUAGGACCUACAUGCAGUUAAAUAUGUGUUGUGUUUUAAACACACACACCGACACACACACGUACGCACACACGCACGCGCUAACAAAAAGAUUUUGAUUGGUUCGGUUUUCCAGUUUGGCGAACAAGGGAACAAAGAGCAUGUAGUCAGUGAAUAACGUGUGUAUUAUUAUCCGAUUAUCACGUGCCUUCCUCCUGCUGAUCCCAUCAGUAGAGCGCCCCGAAGAGCCUCCACGCCCUCAAAGUGAGGCUCUGCUACGGCGUGGUACAGCCCCUGGUGUACAGGCUCGUCCACCCUGAGGGCGAGGGGGGGGGUGGUCACUGGUGGAGGAGGUGGUGGAGGAGCAAGCAUCCCUACAGCUGACGGAGGUUGGCAAUCAGACCAUUUUAGGCACUGAAGCGACCAUCUUUUUACUUCCAUUAGCUGU
ensembl:lncRNA